GAUCAUGUCAGAAGUUUCUGUCUUUACUGUAGUGCUCUGUACGCUCCUCUGUACUGGACACGCUCAAGAUGCUGUGCUAACUAUUGAACCCAGCUGGUCCAGUUUAUUUUUCAUCGGAGAGUUUGUUACCUUCAAAUGUGACAUGAAUGAAGGAAAAGACACUGACUGGGAAUACAAAAUCAACAAGGAUGGUCAAGACUUUUUCUCCUACAGGAUAAACAAAGACUUCAAAUUAAAAAUGAGAUCUACAGGUGACAGUGGUGAAUAUCAGUGCUUUGGUCUCAGGAUGAGCUCACGUGAUACAAAGAAAAGUAAUACUCUCUCUAUAACUGUAUUAGCAGAUAAACCCAGGGCCACACUGACAGCAGGAACAACAAUCAUACCAGUAGGGGGCAGUGUGACACUGACCUGCUCUGUGCAGAGCUCUGAUGGAUGGAAAUAUGAGUGGUUCAGAAACCUAAUGACCUAUGAAUUUCCAAACAGAGAUCAACAAAACAGAGAUAUCAGAGUAUAUCACGGAGGAAUCUACAGCUGCAGAGGAACAAGAGGAAACCCAAUUUACUACACUGAUAUCAGUGAUGAUGUCACCAUUGAUAUAACCUGUGAGUUCAGUAAUUUAGUUUGAAAUAUACAUUCACUCAUGAUUAUCAAACAUACAAUGUUAAGUUUUCUGUGUUGAUUUCAUGUUUCUAUUUGUAUCUCAACUGUUAAUAUGUGUAAACAGUUUCCAUUAAAGUUGUUGUAAAACAACAACCCAACUGGCCUCAGUUAUUCAGAGGUGAGAUGAUCACUCUGACAUGUGAGGUGCAGGAAGGAGGUGAAACCACUGAGUGGUUUUCUGAAUGGAGAGGACCCGGGACACCCACACAGCUGAUACCCUAUAAUGUUCUGAGAUUUGUAGUUUCUGAGUACAGCAGUGGAGACUACAUGUGUAAGAGUCGACGCGGUUAUCACCGAUAUUCUU